GCCGUAAUAUUUCUAACACUCGACAAAAAAAAACAUGGCUUUUCUGUUUUCUGGGGAACAGAUUACGUACGUAAGGUUUAAAAUGGUAAAAAAAAAAUUGUAGAUUCGAAAAUCCAUGCUUACUUACUCAAAUGCGCCAAGGUCUUGUGAAGGUGUUGCCAAUGAUAAAGAAUACGGCAUGUGUGGAAAAUAUUUAUAUUUGUUUGUAUAAAUUGUGCACGAGUAGAUGUAUAAUUAUCUUCAUUAUUUUAUAUUCAAGAUUCAUUUUAUAUUUCCGUUGUUCUGAAAAUAUAAUUGAAAGUUUGUUUUUGGGGGGGUUUUUUGGGUUUUUUUUUUUUAUUUCAGAAAUCUGUUUACAGUGGAGAAAUUCACAUAAUAUUAAUUAAUAUUUUGAAAGAAUUAAGAAUCAAAGAAUUUCUGUCACAUUAAUCGAUUUAAAUGCUAAUGGAACAAAUUUGUUAUAACAAUUUCAUCAAAGAAAAUCAACGAAAUUCAAAUGAAUUCAACAAUUAUAUUCUUUAUAGCGGAUUACGAUAAUUCGUUAAAUCAAAUUUGAAAUACUUUAAAUUGUUAACAUAAUUAUUUUAGAUUUAAAAAAAACUAUUAUAUAACUGUGGAGCUUAAAUGUUUUAAAGCCAAAUAUCAUAAGUUAUUUCACUUGAUCUUUUAAAUGUCUGGUGUUUUGUUUUUGUUCUUGUUGUUGUAAUAGUUUUAAGGUAUCAAAAUGCUGACAAUUGAUGACAGCUAUUUAUAACGCUACAAUAAUAAUAAUGCAUAAAAUAUUUCAAAAUUGUUUCUUUGUAUUUUAUUCUAAUUCUUAAAAUAUGAGACCAUUAUAUUGUGUCAAUAUCAUUUACGUAAAGUAAAUUAAAUUCUAAUCUUUGAGUUUUUGUGGGUUUUUUUUUUUCAAAACAGUGCUCUUACUUCUAAUUAAUUGUACUUUUUUAUUCAAUCGCGUUGGAUUCAUAUUGAAGUUGAAAAUAAAAUAAUUAUAUAUUGAAUGCAUGUAAAUUUGCUUAUAAAGGUUGUUUAUUUUGAAAAUUGUUGUAUAUAUUACUCAGUUUUUCUGUAGAACUAAGCAUUUUUAGGUUCAAAUAUGUGCAUACUUCUUUAUGUAAGAAUACAAUGUAAAUACAUGUACUCAUCUACUCAUUAAAUAAUGACUCU
rnacentral:misc_RNA from 1 species